rnacentral:rRNA from 1 species
GACGAACGCUGGCGGCGUGCUUAACACAUGCAAGUCGAACGGAGUGGCGAACGGGUGAGUAACACGUGGGUGAUCUGCCUUGCACUUCGGGAUAAGCUUGGGAAACUGGGUCUAAUACCGGAUAGUGCAAGAUGAGCUCGUGGCCAAUCAGCUUGUUGGUGGGGUAAUGGCCUACCAAGGCGUCGACGGGUAGCCGGCCUGAGAGGGUGUACGGCCGCAUUGGGACUGGGGUACGUCCCAGACUCCUACGGGAGGCAGCGGUGGGGAGUAUUGCCCAAUGGGCGGAAGCCUGAUGCAGCGACGCCGGGUGGGGAAUGAAGGCCUUCGGGUUGUGAACUCCUUUCGGCGGAGACGCGGUACCUGUAUAAGAAGCACCGGCUAACUACGUGCCAGCAGCCGCGGUAAUAC